GACGAAGGAUGCAAGCGUUAUCCGGAUUCAUUGGGUUUAAAGGGAGCGUAGGCGGACUUGUAAGUCAGUGGUGAAAUCUCUGGGCUUAACCCAGAAACUGCCAUUGAUACUGCAGGUCUAGAGUACAUUUGCUGUGGGCGGAAUAUGACAUGUAGUGGUGAAAUACUUAGAUAUGUCAUAGAACACCGAUUGCGAAGGCAGCUCACAAAAAUGUAACUGACGCUGAGGCUCGAAAGUGCGGGGAUCAAACAGG
rnacentral:rRNA from 1 species